GACGAACGCUGGCGGCGUGCUUAACACAUGCAAGUCGAACGCUGAAGCUCAGCUUUUGUUGGGUGGAUGAGUGGCGAACGGGUGAGUAACACGUGAGUAACCUGCCCCCUUCUUUGGGAUAACGCCCGGAAACGGGUGCUAAUACUGGAUAUUCACUGGUCUUCGCAUGGGGGUUGGUGGAAAGGGUUUUUCUGGUGGGGGAUGGGCUCGCGGCCUAUCAGCUUGUUGGUGGGGUGAUGGCCUACCAAGGCUUUGACGGGUAGCCGGCCUGAGAGGGUGACCGGUCACAUUGGAACUGAGAUACGGCCCAGACUCCUACGGGAGGCAGCAGUGGGGAAUAUUGCACAAUGGGCGCAAGCCUGAUGCAGCGACGCCGCGUGAGGGAUGGAGGCCUUCGGGUUGUGAACCUCUUUCGCUCAUGGUCAAGCCGCAACAAUGGUUGUGGUGAGGGUAGUGGGUAAAGAAGCGCCGGCUAACUACGUG
rnacentral:rRNA from 1 species